rnacentral:lncRNA from 1 species
GGGACACCAGGGAUAUUGGGGACACCAGGGACUUUGGGGACACCAGAGACUCUGGAGACAUUGGGAACACCAGGAUGCCAGGACACCAAGGACAUCAGGGACACCAGGGACAUAAGGGACGCUGGGGAUACUGGGGACGCCAGGACACCGGGGAUAUUGGGGACACCGGGAACACCAGCACACCGAGGACACCAGGACACUGGGGACACCAGGACACUGGGGACACCCCCCCAGCCCUCAGGAGAUCCCUGGGGUCAGGGUCACCCUGGGGGACUGUGGCACUCCCCAGGUGCGGGAUUGUCCCUGGGGUCACCUUCCCUGGGAUCAGGCUCUCCACCCUUGGGUUGGGGUCACCCCUGGGGUUGGGGUCACCCUAGGGGACCGUGGUCCCGAGGUGUGGUGUCACCUGCUCUGGGGACACUGGGAUUGGGGUCACCAUGGGAUUGGGGUCACCAUGGGGAACCACAGCCCCCCAGCAGUGGGGGAUCGGGGUCACCCCAGGGACAUGCUCCUGUUCCUGGAUCGGGGCCACCCCUGGGAUUAACCCUGGGGCUCUGUCCCUGCCAGCGCCGCAUUUGGGGUCCCCUGGGAGUCCGGGGCUGCCCAGGGGAUUGGGGACCCCCAAGAUCUGCCCCCUUCAGGAGCCACCGUGUGCCUUUCUGGGGCUGCCCAGGGGAUUGGGGACCCCCUUCAGGAACCACCCUGUGCCUUCCUGGGGCUGCCCAGGGGAUUGGGGACCCCCUUCAGGAACCACCCUGCGCCUUCCUGGGGCUGCCCAGGGGAUUGGGGACCCCCUUCAGGAACCACCCUGUGCCUUCCUGGGGCUGCCCAGGGGAUUGGGGACCCUCCCCAUUCCCACACCUCUCAGGGGGAGCCGUGGUGGGGGUGGAUAAUUUGGGGGUGCCCUUGGUGGGGUGCACAGCCCCAUCCCACCGUGCUGAGCCGGGUGGGGGGACACACAUCCCGUUCUGUCUUGUCGCUAAAUGUCCCAGCGAGCUCCACCCCGCUCCCCGCCCCCGUGUCCCCCGCCAGAGGCUGGCCAGCAGCGUGUGUCCCCAGCUGUCCCCGCUGUCCCCCACUAACCCCCGCACUAAGCCGCCCCGCCCGUCCGGCCCCGCAUGGUGUGCUCGCUUCUCGCACCCAGGCUCCGCACCCGGGGGACUCGGGGGGCCGCGGGCAGGGCAGGGUCCCCCCGCCGCCCUCCCGCCCGGCUCCCCGCAGCCUGCCCCGCCAGGACACCUUCGACUCGGAGGCAGCGGGCAGCCGGGAGCCCGGCGAUUCCUGCUGCAUGGACAUCGAGAUGGAGCCCGUCGAGGAGGAACCGCCCGGCACCCCCGGGGCCGCCCCGCAGCCGCCGCCCGGUUCCUGGGACGGGGCCGGGGAGGGUCGGGGGCUGCGGGGCCGAGCCAAGGGUGA